AUGCCAUGCCCUUGCCCGCCUCGGCCACCGCGUCCGCCCCGCGCUAGCGCCAGGCCAGGGCCGACGAGGAGCUCGUCCGCGCGCACCCGCCGCCGCUUCUUUAGCCGCGCCGGCGUCGCCGAGGACCCGGCGCCUGAGCCAUUCUCCUUCACCAAGUCCCUCCUGACGUGGCCACAAGGUGGCGGGUUCAUGCGGGGCAGGAUCCGCGUGGCCGGAUGGGAGCUGGAGCUCACGGCGGCCACGACCUUCGAGAAAAUUUGCACUCUGUUGCUGUCGGCGCAGCUGCAGCGUUGCAACGACGCCACCUUCUAUCGGUCGUUCGACGUCCUCGAGGGCUUAACCCUGCUCGGCCUCUACUGCCAGCCCAGCAGCCGCCGCCUCCACGGCCACCUCCUCGUCGCCAGGGCCGCCGACCUGCCGCGCUCCACGGAGUCGCCUCUCCGCGCGCCGCGGGACUAUGAGCUCGUCUGGGACUUCCACGCCGCUGCCGAUGCCGGUGGCGCCAGCGCGGGCUCUUGCUCCGGCUAUGGAUCAGUGGUACCGGGCGCUCGGGAUCCUCGUCACGACGGCCCCGGCAAGCCGCCGCUCGAUGAGGUGGGCUGCGUGCGCGCCGACCUCACCGACGAGUGCGAGCCGCACAGCUCCCUGCUCCACCUGCAACUCACCUCGACAUCUCGAGGACCUUGGUAG
rnacentral:rRNA from 1 species